rnacentral:rRNA from 1 species
GACGAACGCUGGCGGCGUGCUUAACACAUGCAAGUCGAACGGAAAGGCCCCCACUUUUUUGGUGGGGGUGCUCGAGUGGCGAACGGGUGAGUAACACGUGGGUGAUCUGCCCUGUACUUCGGGAUAAGCUUGGGAAACUGGGUCUAAUACCGGAUAGGACCAUGGUUUAGUGUCUCAUGUUGGAAAAAUUAUUGUUUUGGUGCAGGAUGAGCUCGCGGCCUAUCAGCUUGUUGGUGGGGUAAUGGCCUACCAAGGCGUCGACGGGUAGCCGGCCUGAGAGGGUGGACGGCCAGAUUGAGACUGAGAUACGGCCCAGACUCCUACGGGCGGCAGCAGUGGGGAAUAUUGCACAAUGGGCGCAAGCCUGAUGCAGCGACGCCGCGUGGGGGAUGACGGCCUUCGGGUUGUAAACGCCUUUCGUUAGGGACGAAGCCGCACCUUUUUUGGGUGUGGUGACGGUACCUUGGUUAAGAAGCACCGGCUAACUACGUG